ACAGGGGGUACCGGUACCGGUCCUUGGCCUGUUAGGAACCACGCAGGACAGCAGGAGGAAAACUGCCGGCAUCUCUCAGAAAGAAACACCAAAAAAGACUGUUGAUAUGGAAUCAACUGAAGUAUUCACCAAGAAAACUGAGCUGACUGAAGAAGAAAAGAAUGACCAAAAACAUCUGAACAAAAUCAACCAGUAUUAUCAGUUCACCUUGCCCCAAUAUGUAAAAGCUGUUUAUCAAUAUCACAAAAUUAUGAAACCAUGGAAAAACAUGAAGACAAAUGCUUACCAAGUUAUCCCCACUCUGGGAUCUUUAAGAUUCUUGAAUUAACUGCUCCUACUUUACUUUGGAAACAAUUUCUCCUUCUACCUCAUAGACUGUAUUGACUCCAUCAAGCAUGAACACAGAUAGUUAUUAAAAAUCUUAUUAUGUGC
rnacentral:lncRNA from 10 species